rnacentral:lncRNA from 1 species
ACUCAACACUCAAAAGCAUGCAUAAACACAUCAUCAAGCAUAUAGGGGCAUAAAACUAGCCUAUACCCCAACAAACAUCACAUUUAACAUCAAACUAACAUAAACCCUAACAUUUUACAACUAGCCUAAACAUGCAUUAAACACCCAUAAAACCCCUUAAAACUUACUUAAAACCUAAAAGAAGAGGAGGAUCUACACUUACCUCUUGAAGAUCGAGAGGAGAUGCGAUCCCAAACUUGGAGAUAUGGAGG